CCUCUCAUAUAUUUUUAUUCUCUUUUGAACAAAUUCCUAGCCUUGAAUACUAUUUUCUCCAUGGUUUUUAUGUUGUGCAUUCUACAAUGCAGGGUACUGAAUCAACAGUUACAUGAAAGUUUGAUGCCGUGUGAGUAGCAGAAACUGAAAGAAUAAGCAUUAGUCCUCAGAGAAGAGGUUGACAUUAUAUGCCCCUUCAGGUAAUCAAUUUGCGUCUUUAAUCUUUCCGUGUUUUUCUUUUGUUUUUUUACUUUAAAAUAGAAUAACGACAGCCAAGCUAAUUCCAUUUUUUGUGCAUGAUAUAUUUUGAUCUCAAAUGCAUUUCAAUGGCUCGAUGUUCCAUUCAAUCUUUUUUUGCCAUGUAUCUUCCAUUUAGACAUACUGGAUGACCAACUCUUCAUAUUUCUGUCAUGUAUUUUCCAAUUAGAUGGAAACUAAUAACCAAGGAAACUUAUUUUAACAGUUGCAGCAGCACCUACUAAUAUUUGCCAAUAAAUUAUCCAUGAUAUGUAUCUUCCAGUUUAUUAAUUACCAAAAAAUGAGGAUAACAGUGGACACCCCAAACUGUAUCUCUGAAUCUUAAUUGUUCAACCUUAAUGCUUGAAAUGUUCCACAUGAUGUUUGUUGGUAGAAAGAUUCAAGCAUAUAUGCACUUGGAAUGCCUUGGUAAUUGAUGAUUUUGCCAUUUGGAGCCCACUUAGGAUGCUUUGGUAAUUAGCAAAAUGAAACUGUUCAAGCAAAAUCAUUUUAUCAUUAACACUCUUGGCAUUCUCUUGCAUCAGAAGGGACCAAUGGUUUUGCCAUUUGGGAGCUCAUGCUUAUGGUUAGUUGUACAGCUAUAAUUUCUCUGUGCAUACACUUUUUCCUUAGAGAAUUAGAAUCAUUUGUUCCUGGUAGUCUCAUUUUACUUGUUCAUUUGUUCCUCUGGUUUUUUCUUCUCAUGUUGCUUUAUUCCAUAUUUUGCUCAUGUGCUGCAGUGCUCGCUUUUG
rnacentral:lncRNA from 1 species